UCCGCAGUAGCUCAGUGGUAGAGCUAUCGGCUGUUAACCGAUCGGUCGUAGGUUCGAAUCCUACCUUCGGAGCCA
rnacentral:tRNA from 1 species